rnacentral:tRNA from 1 species
GGGCUCAUAGUUCAGCGGAUAGAAUGCAAGGCUUCGGACCUUGAGACGAGGGUUCAAUUCCUUCUGGGCCCA